AGCCUUCUGUAUCCGUGCUGAGUCACACACCAGACCACAAGGGCUGAUGAGACUUCCAAGAUAAGUGUAGCG
rnacentral:pre_miRNA from 1 species